rnacentral:rRNA from 1 species
AUUCCUGUACCACCUAUAAUCGUUUUAAUCGAUGGGGGGACGCAGUAGGAUAGGCGAAGCGUGCGAUUGGAUUGCACGUCUAAGCAGUAAGGCUGAGUAUUAGGCAAAUCCGGUACUCGUUAAGGCUGAGCUGUGAUGGGGAGAAGACAUUGUGUCUUCGAGUCGUUGAUUUCACACUGCCGAGAAAAGCCUCUAGAUAGAAAAUAGGUGCCCGUACCGCAAACCGACACAGGUAGUCAAGAUGAGAAUUCUAAGGUGAGCGAGCGAACUCUCGUUAAGGAACUCGGCAAAAUGACCCCGUAACUUCGGGAGAAGGGGUGCUCUUUAGGGUUAACGCCCAGAAGAGCCGCAGUGAAUAGGCCCAAGCGACUGUUUAUCAAAAACACAGGUCUCUGCUAAACCGUAAGGUGAUGUAUAGGGGCUGACGCCUGCCCGGUGCUGGAAGGUUAAGAGGAGUGGUUAGCUUCUGCGAAGCUACGAAUCGAAGCCCCAGUAAACGGCGGCCGUAACUAUAACGGUCCUAAGGUAGCGAAAUUCCUUGUCGGGUAAGUUCCGACCCGCACGAAAGGCGUAACGAUUUGGGCACUGUCUCAACGAGAGACUCGGUGAAAUCAUAGUACCUGUGAAGAUGCAGGUUACCCGCGACAGGACGGAAAGACCCCGUGGAGCUUUACUGUAGCCUGAUAUUGAAAUUCGGCACAGCUUGUACAGGAUAGGUAGGAGCCUUUGAAACGUGAGCGCUAGCUUACGUGGAGGCGCUGGUGGGAUACUACCCUAGCUGUGUUGGCUUUCUAACCCGCACCACUUAUCGUGGUGGGAGACAGUGUCAGGCGGGCAGUUUGACUGGGGCGGUCGCCUCCUAAAAGGUAACGGAGGCGCUCAAAGGUUCCCUCAGAAUGGUUGGAAAUCAUUCAUAGAGUGUAAAGGCAUAAGGGAGCUUGACUGCGAGACCUACAAGUCGAGCAGGGUCG